UACGUAGGGGGCAAGCGUUAUCCGGAUUUACUGGGUGUAAAGGGAGCGUAGGCGGCGCGUUAAGUCUGAUGUGAAAACCCGAGGCUCAACCACGGGAGUGCAUUGGAAACUGGCGGGCUGGAGUGCCGGAGAGGUAAGCGGAAUUCCUAGUGUAGCGGUGAAAUGCGUAGAUAUUAGGAGGAACACCAGUGGCGAAGGCGGCUUACUGGACGGCAACUGACGCUGAGGCUCGAAGGCGUGGGGAGCAAACAGG
rnacentral:rRNA from 1 species